UGCCCCUGGCUACUAAGCAUUAUCUCAAGC
rnacentral:piRNA from 1 species